UGUUACCCUCAUCCAUAUAUCGAUCACGUUACUGUCAGAUGAUUUGAAUUGAUAAGCUGAUGUUCUGUGAGGUACAAAAGUUAAUAGCAUGUUAGAGUUCUGAUGGCAGUUGUUGUUUAUGAAUAAGCUUCAUUCCAUCCUAAUACCUUAAAAUAACUAAUUUGCUUUCCUUUCCAGGUAUUCCUGAUGACAGUCUGCCUCUAUCUUACAGAGCAGCUUGUUGCUAUAUACCAUUGAAAAGCCUUCAGAGCUGAGAGGUUAGUUGAUAUUUUUUGUUCCUUACAGCUUAUGCCACCAAGUAGGCAGUUUCUAUGAUGAAUCAAACUAGCUCACUAUGACCGACAGUGAAAAUACAUGAACACCUGAGAAACUGGAGAACGCAGGGAGUGGGGGGUAACCAUGUCUGAGGAAUCUUUCACCCACAGCUUUGUUUUUCUCUAGGUACUACUAACCAAUAACCUGCUUGGCUCAAAGGUGAGUAAUUUCACGGUAUUCAAUGCACUCAGUAUAUAGGGUAGGAAAAAGUGCCUUUUUAGGCCUGUGUUUGUGAUGACUUACAUGGAAUCUCGUUCGGCUGAUGACUUGCUGUUGAGACUCUGAAAUCUGAUUUUCUGAGAAUGAUGGGUGGGAACAACAUAAUGCGGGAUAUGAGAAGCACUACUGACUUGGUCUUCCUCCUUUCAGGGCCAGCACCUUCUCUCUAAAGCCCAAGAGGAGUUUGAGGAAAACUAGGUGUCUGUGUUCACUCCAGGCUGAAGUUACAGGUCUGAGCAAAUAAGGUGUAUAAAAAAUGGAAUCUGUCUUGGAGGACAUCAGAAGGUGAAUUUUCCAAGUUCUUGGACAACCUAGCUGUUGAAAAGCUUUCUGGGUUUGGGGGGUAUUUCAGAUGUACCUUAAAGUGUUAGCAGACACAGAUUAAGACACUGGGAGCCAAUGAAACAGCAGUUGAGGGUUUGCUGUGUAUCACAUUUCUGUAUUUUAUCACCCCCUUCCUGCAACAUUAUUUAUCUGGAAUCUACCUGCCCUUUUGUUUUUUAGAUACAAGGGCUUGGUUUUGUUACCCAGGCUGGUUUCAAGGCCAUAGCUUUAAGAGAUCCUCUCACCACAGAUUUCCAAAGUGCUGGGAUUGCAGGUGUGAUUCAUGGCACCCAGACUUUGCUGCCUUUCUUACAUGAUCCAGGCCCAGAACCCAAACUCAGGCACUGUAUAGAUGACCACUUUCGUAAACUACUGACCUAGCUUGUUGCCAAUUGUUGAUUGAACUUCCCAUAACUCCACUUCGUGUCUGUUCCUCUGUAUACAGCCACCUUCUGUUCCCGUCAUGAGCCUUUAGGUCUCCAUUUGCAUAUUGCAAAUACUAUGUUCCAUGUAGGUAGCUCAUUCAGGGCCUUGCUCUUCACUUCAAAAAAGGUUCCCUUGAGGACUGGCUGUCAAUUUGUGUUGCUGUGUUGGUUGUUGAUGAAAAUAAUAAAAUGAUUGAUUAC
rnacentral:lncRNA from 10 species